GCGAGAGUGGUGGAAUGGUAGACACGCUAGAUUUAGGAUCUAGUGCCUUCGGGCGUGCGGGUUCAAAUCCCGCCUCUCGCA
rnacentral:tRNA from 1 species